GGGUGCAUAGCUCAGCGGUAGAGCAGUCGCCUCUUAAGCGAUUGGCCGCAGGUUCGAAUCCUGCUGCACCCACCA
rnacentral:tRNA from 1 species